GGUUGGGCUUGGAGCUAGGAUUUUUCUGAGUGCAAUGAACCAACUCCCGAGUCUCUAGGACGUUCCUAAAAAAAUUUGAUUUUUUUCCCAUAGGAAUGCAUGGGUUAGGGUUAGGGUUAGGGUUGGAGCUAGGGUUAGGGUUAGGGUUGGAGUUAGGGUUAGUGUUGGAGCUAGGGUUAGGGUUGGGCUUGGAGCUAGGAUUUUUCUGAGUGCAAUGAACCAACUCCCGAGUCUCUAGGACGUUCCUAAAAAAAAUUGAUUUUUUCCCAUAGGAAUGCAUGGGUUAGGGUUAGGGUUAGGGUUGGAGCUAGGGUUAGGGUUAGGGUUAGGGUUGGAGUUAGGGUUAGUGUUGGAGCUAGGGUUAGGGUUGGGCUUGGAGCUAGGAUUUUUCUGAGUGCAACGAACCAACUCCCGAGUCUCUAGGACAAUCCUAAAAAAAUUUGAUUUUUUCCCAUAGGAAUGCAUGGGUUAGGGUUAGGGUUAGGGUUGGAGCUAGGGUUAGGGUUAGGGUUAGGGUUGGAGUUAGGGUUAGUGUUGGAGCUAGGGUUAGGGUUGGGCUUGGAGCUAGGAUUUUUCUGAGUGCAAUGAACCAACUCCCGAGUCUCUAGGACGUUCCUAAAAAAAUUUGAUUUUUUCCCAUAGGAAUGCAUGGGUUAGGGUUAGGGUUAGGGUUGGAGCUAGGAUUAGGGUUAGGUGUGGGGUUGGAGCUAGGGUUAGGGUUAGGGUUAGGGUUGGAGUUAGGGUUAGUGUUUGAGCUAGGGUUAGGGUUGGGCUUGGAGCUAGGAUUUUUCUGAGUGCAAUGAACCAACUCCCGAGUCUCUAGGACGUUCCUACAAAAAUUUGAUUUUUUCCCAUAGGAAUGCAUGGGUUAGGGUUAGGGUUAGGGUUGGAGCUAGGGUUAGGGUUAGGGUUGGAGUUAGGGUUAGUGUUGGAGCUAGGGUUAGGGUUGGGCUUGGAGCUAGGAUUUUUCUGAGUGCAAUGAACCAACUCCCGAGUCUCUAGGACGUUCCUAAAAAAAUUUGAUUUUUCCCCAUAGGAAUGCAUGGGUUAGGGUUAGGGUUAGGGUUGGACCUAGGGUUAGGGUUAGGGUUAGGGUUGGAGUUAGGGUUAGUGUUGGAGCUAGGGUUAGGGUUGGGCUUGGAGCUAGGAUUUUUCUGAAUGCAAUGAACCAACUCCCGAGUCUCUAGGACGUUCCUAAAAAAAUUUGAUUUUUUUCCCAUAGGAAUGCAUGGGUUAGGGUUAGGGUUAGGGUUGGAGCUAGGGUUAGGGUUAGGGUUAGGGUUGGAGUUAGGGUUAGUGUUGGAGCUAGGGUUAGGGUUGGGCUUGGAGCUAGGAUUUUUCUGAGUGCAAUGAACCAACUCCCGAGUCUCUAGGACGUUCCUAAAAGAAUUUGAUUUUUUCCCUUAGGAAUGCAUGGGUUAGGGUUAGGGUUAGGGUUGGAGCUAGGGUUAGGGUUAGGGUAAGGGUUAGUGUUGGAGCUAGGGUGAGGGUUGGGCUUGGAGCUAGGAUUUUUCUGAGUGCAAUGAACCAACUCCCGAGUCUUUAGGACGUUCCUAAAAAAAUUUGAUUUUUUCCCAUAGGAAUGCAUGGGUUAGGGUUAGGGUUAGGGUUGGAGCUAGGGUUAGGGUUAGGGUUAGGGUUGGAGUUAGGGUUAGUGUUGGAGCUAGGGUUAGGGUUGGGCUUGGAGCUAGGAUUUUUCUGAGUGCAAUGAACCAACUCCCGAGUCUCUAGGACGUUCCUAAAAAAAUUUGAUUUUUUCCCAUAGGAAUGCAUGGGUUAGGGUUAGGGUUAGGGGAGCUAGGGUUAGGGUUAGGGUUAGGGUUGGAGUUAGGGUUAGUGUUGGAGCUAGGGUUAGGGUUGGGCUUGGAGCUAGGAUUUUUCUGAGUGCAAUGAACCAACUCCCGAGUCUCUAGGACGUUCCUAAAAAAAUUUGAUUUUUUCCCAUAGGAAUGCAUGGGUUAGGGUUAGGGUUAGGGUUGGAGCUAGGGUUAGGGUUAGGGUUAGGGUUGGAGUUAGGGUUAGUGUUGGAGCUAGGUUAGGGUUGGGCUUGGAGCUAGGAUUUUUCUGAGUGCAAUGAACCAACUCCCGAGUCUCUAGGACGUUCCUAAAAAAAAUUGAUUUUUUCCCAUAGGAAUGCAUGGGUUAGGGUUAGGGUUAGGGUUGGAGCUAGGGUUAGGGUUAGGGUUAGGGUUGGAGUUAGGGUUAGUGUUGGAGCUAGGGUUAGGGUUGGGCUUGGAGCUAGGAUUUUUCUGAGUGCCAUGAACCAACUCCCGAGUCUCUAGGACGUUCCUAAAAAAAAUUUGAUUUUUUCCCAUAGGAAUGCAUGGGUUAGGGUUAGGGUUAGGGUUGGAGCUAGGGUCAGGGUUAGGGUUAGGGUUGGAGUUAGGGUUAGUGUUGGAGCUAGGGUUAGGGUUGGGCUUGGAGCUAGGAUUUUUCUGAGUGCAAUGAACCAACUCCCGAGUCUCUAGGACGUUCCUAAAAAAAUUUGAUUUUUUCCCAUAGGAAUGCAUGGGUUAGGGUUAGGGUUAGGGUUGGAGCUAGGGUUAGGGUUGGAGUUAGGGUUAGUGUUGGAGCUAGGGUUAGGGUUGGGCUUGGAGCUAGGAUUUUUCUGAGUGCAAUGAACCAACUCCCGAGUCUCUAGGACGUUCCUAAAAAAAUUUGAUUUUUUCCCAUAGGAAUGCAUGGGUUAGGGUUAGGGUUAGGGUUGGAGCUAGGGUUAGGGUUAGGGUUAGGGUUGGAGUUAGGGUUAGUGUUGGAGCUAGGAUCAGGGUUGGGCUUGGAGCUAGGAUUUUUCUGAGUACAAUGAACCAACUCCCGAGUCUCUAGGACGUUCCUAAAAAAAAUUGAUUUUUUCCCAUAGGAAUGCAUGGGUUAGGGUUAGGGUUAGGGUUGGAGCUAGGGUUAGGGUUAGGGUUAGGGUUGGAGCUAGGGUUAGGGUUAGGGUUGGAGUUAGGGUUAGUGUUGGAGCUAGGGUUAGGGUUGGAGCUAGGGUUAGGGUUAGGGUUAGGGUUGGAGUUAGGGUUAGUGUUGGAGCUAGGGUUAGGGUUGGGCUUGGAGCUAGGAUUUUUCUGAGUGCAAUGAACCAACUCCCGAGUCUCUAGGACGUUCCUAAAAAAAUUUGAUUUUUUCCCAUAGGAAUGCAUGGGUUAGGGUUAGGGUUAGGGUUGGAGCUAGGAUUAGGGUUAGGUGUGGGGUUGGAGCUAGGGUUAGGGUUAGGGUUAGGGUUGGAGUUAAGGUUAGUGUUGGAGCUAGGGUUAGGGUUGGGCUUGGAGCUAGGAUUUUUCUGAGUGCAAUGAACCAACUCCCGAGUCUCUAGGACGUUCCUACAAAAAUUUGAUUUUUUUCCCAUAGGAAUGCAUGGGUUAGGGUUAGGGUUAGGGUUGGAGCUAGGGUUAGGGUUAGGGUUGGAGUUAGGGUUAGUGUUGGAGCUAGGGUUAGGGUUGGGCUUGGAGCUAGGAUUUUUCUGAGUGCAAUGAACCAACUCCCGAGUCUCUAGGACGUUCCUAAAAAAAUUUGAUUUUUUCCCCAUAGGAAUGCAUGGGUUAGGGUUAGGGUUAGGGUUGGAGCUAGGGUUAGGGUUAGGGUUAGGGUUGGAGUUAGGGUUAGUGUUGGAGCUAGGGUUAGGGUUGGGCUUGGAGCUAGGAUUUUUCUGAGUGCAAUGAACCAACUCCCGAGUCUCUAGGACGUUCCUAAAAAAAUUUGAUUUUUUCCCAUAGGAAUGCAUGGGUUAGGGUUAGGGUUAGGGUUGGAGCUAGGGUUAGGGUUAGGGUUAGGGUUGGAGUUAGGGUUAGUGUUGGAGCUAGGGUUAGGGUUGGGCUUGGAGCUAGGAUUUUUCUGAGUGCAAUGAACCAACUCCCGAGUCUCUAGGACGUUCCUAAAAGAAUUUGAUUUUUUCCCUUAGGAAUGCAUGGGUUAGGGUUAGGGUUAGGGUUGGAGCUAGGGUUAGGGUUAGGUUGGAGUUAGGGUUAGUGUUGGAGCUAGGGUUAGGGUUGGGCUUGGAGCUAGGAUUUUUCUGAGUGCAAUGAACCAACUCCCGAGUCUCUAGGACGUUCCUAAAAAAAUUUGAUUUUUUCCCAUAGGAAUGCAUGGGUUAGGGUUAGGGUUAGGGUUGGAGCUAGGGUUAGGGUUAGGGUUAGGGUUGGAGUUAGGGUUAGUGUUGGAGCUAGGGUUAGGGUUGGGCUUGGAGCUAGGAUUUUUCUGAGUGCAAUGAACUAACUCCCGAGUCUCUAGGACG